rnacentral:rRNA from 1 species
GUGUCAGCCGCCGCGGUAAUACGGAGGGUGCAAGCGUUAUUCGGAAUUACUGGGCGUAAAGCGCGUGCAGGCGGGUAUGCAAGUCUGAUGUGAAAGCCCCGGGCUCAACCUGGGAAGUGCAUUGGAAACUGCAUAUCUUGAGUGCUGGAGAGGAAGGGGGAAUUCCCGGUGUAGAGGUGAAAUUCGUAGAGAUCGGGAGGAAUACCAGUGGCGAAGGCGCCCUUCUGGACGGCAACUGACGCUGAGACGCGAAAGCGUGGGGAGCAAACAGGAUUAGAUACCCCUGUAGUCC